rnacentral:rRNA from 1 species
GACGGAGGGUGCAAACGUUGUUCGGAAUCACUGGGCAUAAAGCGCACGUAGGCGGUUCGUCAAGUCAGGUGUGAAAUCCCCCGGCUCAACCGGGGAACUGCAUUUGAUACUGGCGGGCUCGAGGAUGGUAGGGGUGAGCGGAACUCCAGGUGGAGCGGUGAAAUGCGUAGAUAUCUGGAGGAACACCGGUGGCGAAGGCGGCUCACUGGACCAUAUCUGACGCUGAGGUGCGAAAGCCAGGGUAGCAAACGGG